rnacentral:rRNA from 1 species
UCAAGUUAUUAAGGGUGCAGGGCGGAUGCCUUGGCACUAGGAGCCGAUGAAGGACGUGAUAAGCUGCGAUAAGCUUCGGGGAGUUGCACGUAAACUUUGAUCCGAAGAUUUCCGAAUGAGGAAACUCACUUAGAGUAAUGUCUAAGUAUCGUUAAGUGAAUACAUAGCUUAACGAGGGGAACCCGGGGAACUGAAACAUCUAAGUACCCGGAGGAAGAGAAAGAAAUUCGAUUCCGUAAGUAGCGGCGAGCGAACGCGGAACAGGCCAAACCAAUGAAGUUUACUUCGUUGGGGUUGCGGACAUACAACAUGGAUGCAAUAUCGUAAAUGAAGAGAGUUGGAAAGCUCCGCCAUAGAAGGUAAUAGCCCUGUAGUUGAAACGAGAAAGCUACUAGUAUGAUCCAGAGUACCACGGGACACGUGAAACCCUGUGGGAAGCAGGAGGGACCAUCCUCCAAGCCUAAAUACUACCUAGUGACCGAUAGCGCAUAGUACCGUGAGGGAAAGGUGAAAAGAACCCCGGGAGGGGAGUGAAAUAGAACCUGAAACCCUGCACUUACAAGCUGUGGGAGCACAUUACUUGUGUGACCGCGUACUUUUUGUAGAACGGGCCAACGAGUUACGUUAAGUAGCAAGGUUAAGCACUUAAGGUGUGGAGCCGUAGCGAAAGCGAGUCUUAAAUGGGCGAUUAAGUUACUUGGCGUAGACCCGAAACCGGGCGACCUAUCCAUGAGCAGGUUGAAGCGAAAGUAAAAUUUCGUGGAGGACCGAACCCACGAGCGUUGAAAAGCUCGGGGAUGACUUGUGGAUAGCGGAGAAAUUCCAAUCGAACCCGGAGAUAGCUGGUUCUCCCCGAAAUAGCUUUAGGGCUAGCCUCAAGCGUAGAGAAACGGAGGUAGAGCACUGAAUGUCCUAGGGGGUAUUGCACUUACCGAAGACUAUCAAACUCCGAAUGCCGUUUUCUUUUACUUGGGAGUCAGACUGUGGGUGAUAAGAUUCAUAGUCAAAAGGGCAACAGCCCAGAUCGUCAGCUAAGGUCCCUAAAUGUACGUUAAGUGGUAAAGGAUGUGGGAUUGCACAGACAACCAGGAUGUUGGCUUAGAAGCAGCCACUCAUUUAAAGAGUGCGUAAUAGCUCACUGGUCGAGUGAUCCUGCGCCGAAAAUUUCCGGGGCUAAAACGUACUACCGAAGCUACGGCAUCAUUUAUGAUGGGUAGGGGAGCUUCGUAUGCAGGCUGAAGCAUGACCGUAAGGACAUGUGGACAGUAUACGAGUGAGAAUGUUGGCAUGAGUAGCGAGACGUGGGUGAGAAUCCCACGGGCCGUAAACCCAAGGUUUCCAGGGGAAGGUUCGUCCGCCCUGGGUUAGUCGGGACCUAAGCCGAGGCCGAAAGGCGUAGGUGAUGGACAACAGGUUGAUAUUCCUGUACCGCCAAUAAGCGUUUGAGAGAUGGAGUGACACAGUAGGAUAAGCUAACCGUACUGUUGGUUAUGUACGGCUAAGCAUUGAGGCAGUCUAAAUAGGCAAAUCCGUUUAGACAAUGCUAGGAUGUGAUGGGGAAGCCCUUCGGGGCGAAGUAGCUGAUUUCACACUGUCAAGAAAAGCUUCUAUCGAGUUUAAAGGCGCCCGUACCGUAAACCGACACAGGUGGGUGAGGAGAGUAUCCUAAGGCCAGCGAGAGAACUAUUGUUAAGGAACUCGGCAAAAUGACCCCGUAACUUAGGGAGAAGGGGUGCCUGUCUAUGACAGGCCGCAGAGAAUAGGCCCAAGCGACUGUUUACCAAAAACACAGGUUUCUGCUAAGUCGCAAGACGAUGUAUAGGAGCUGACGCCUGCCCGGUGCUGGAAGGUUAAGGGGAUCUGUUAGAGCAAUCGAAGCAGUGAACUUAAGCCCCAGUAAACGGCGGCCGUAACUAUAACGGUCCUAAGGUAGCGAAAUUCCUUGUCGGGUAAGUUCC